GGGUCAGUAGGUUGGUCGUGCCAACGGUACGUACUGGUCUCACUGAUUCCUCCUUCCUGAAGAACCGUAAUGCCAUUAAUUGGGUGUUGCGGGGAAACAGGACUGUUACUUUGAAAAAAUUAGAGUGUUUAAAGCAAGCUAACGCUUGAAUACAUUAGCAUGGAAUAAUGAAAUAGGACGAUCGAUCCUAUUUUGUUGGUUUCUAGGAUUGACGUA
rnacentral:rRNA from 1 species